rnacentral:rRNA from 1 species
UACGGAGGGGCUAGCGUUGUUCGGAAUUACUGGGCGUAAAGCGCACGUAGGCGGCUUUGCAAGUUAGAGGUGAAAGCCCGGGGCUCAACUCCGGAAUUGCCUUUAAAACUGCAUCGCUAGAGUUGUGGAGAGGUAAGUGGAAUUCCGAGUGUAGAGGUGAAAUUCGUAGAUAUUCGGAAGAACACCAGUGGCGAAGGCGACUUACUGGACACAUACUGACGCUGAGGUGCGAAAGCGUGG